AUUGAACGCUGGCGGCAUGCCUUACACAUGCAAGUCGAACGGUAACAGGUCUUCGGAUGCUGACGAGUGACGAACGGGUGAGUAAUACAUCGGAACGUGCCCGAUCGUGGGGGAUAACGAAGCGAAAGCUUUGCUAAUACCGCAUACGAUCUACGGAUGAAAGCAGGGGACCGCAAGGCCUUGCGCGAACGGAGCGGCCGAUGGCAGAUUAGGUAGUUGGUGGGAUAAAAGCUUACCAAGCCGACGAUCUGUAGCUGGUCUGAGAGGACGACCAGCCACACUGGGACUGAGACACGGCCCAGACUCCUACGGGAGGCAGCAGUGGGGAAUUUUGGACAAUGGGCGAAAGCCUGAUCCAGCCAUGCCGCGUGCAGGAUGAAGGCCUUCGGUUGUAAACUGCUUUUGUACGGUAACGAAAGAACUACUGGUUAAUAACCUGGGUCGACUGACGGUACCGUAACGAAUAAGCACCGGCUAACUACGUGCCAGCAGCCGCGGUAAACGUACG
rnacentral:rRNA from 1 species